AGAGUUUGAUCCUGGCUCAGGAUGAACGCUGGCGGCGUGCCUAACACAUGCAAGUCGAACGGGACUUAUUAUGACGAUUUCGGUCUGAAUUUUAAGUUUAGUGGCGGACGGGUGAGUAACGCGUGGACAACCUGCCUUUCACAGGGGGAUAGCAGCUGGAAACGGCUGGUAAUACCGCAUACGCUCAUGCCACCGCAUGGUGGUGUGAGGAAAGAUUUAUCGGUGAAAGAUGGAUCCGCGUCUGAUUAGCCAGUUGGCGGGGUAACGGCCCACCAAAGCGACGAUCAGUAGCCGGCCUGAGAGGGCGGACGGCCACAUUGGGACUGAGACACGGCCCAGACUCCUACGGGAGGCAGCAGUGGGGGAUAUUGCACAAUGGGCGCAAGCCUGAUGCAGCGACGCCGCGUGAGUGAAGAAGUAUUUCGGUAUGUAAAGCUCUAUCAGCAGGGAAGAAAGGCUCGAAAGAGAGAUGACGGUACCUGACUAAGAAGCCCCGGCUAACUACGUGCCAGCAGCCGCGGUAAU
rnacentral:rRNA from 1 species